AUGUGGCAGAAUAAAUGCACUAAAUUUAAGAUUUAACUAUGAAUUCCUUUAGAA
rnacentral:tRNA from 1 species